GAGGUGUCAGUUUUUCAGUGUUUACAGGUUGAGUUUUUUAACAUUUGUGUAGAAAUAAACAUAAGGUGUAGUUUGUACUUAACAAAAUGCCAAGGAAAGGUCAAAGGUCGCAGUCCCAGAAGCUUAGAUGGCAAAAGCAGAAAGAACAGGUAAAUGUUUCUCAGAGCGGUGAGCAGGUAAAGGUGUCUGUUACAAGUAUUCCCAGUCCAGAAGUGCAGAGCAGCGUUCAGACAGCCGCAGUGUCUUAUGCAGAUGUGGUAAAGAGAGGUAUUCGCUCAGCAUGUGUGCCAAAUGUUAAAGUACAGCAGGUAAUCCAGACUGAACCCCAGGUAACUGUGCAAACGCAGCAUGAUGGAGAAGCUCCAGGACCGUCUCAUGUACAUGUUACAAACAGUGAAAGUCGUCCACGAGUGAGUAGCAUCUGUGCGUCCCGAAGCCAGGCCUCUCCUAAGUAUGGAAAGUACAGGAAUCAGCAAUGCAUGGCUAACAGUUUGGUUUUCCUGUCAUUCUUACACGAGGAUGAAUUCAUUACGAGAGCAGAUCUUAACCGUGUGUUGGACAAAGGCCAUGCCGUGUAUUCAGAUGCCAGAAAGAGGUUUGUGAACAGCGUGUUUCUAGCCUGCGAUGAGCUUCCCACAGUGGUCACCAGCCGCAGACACGAGUAUCAAGUGGACAUGUCUCAGUUUGCUCAUUACGGCACAUUUGAUGGUACAGGUCAUCUUCCGAGCCUUGAACAGGGACUACAGUGUUUGGCUUCACAGGUUCGCUAUGCUUUGCUAGUCAUGGGAGGAACGGUCAUCGCAGUUUGCAGGCUGACUUCAGGUGAAUACGCAUAUUUUGACCCUCACCCACGUAAGUCUACAGGAAUGCCAUUGUCGCUAGCUGUAAGUGGUGGAACUGCAGUUAUGUUAAAAUUCACACGUCUUAACGACAUGACUGACAGGAUCAAAUGCUUGUACCGAAUGUUUAGCAUCGCACCAACCUGCACUUAUGAGCUACAGCCUGUCGAGUUUCACAGUGAAAACGCUGCUGACCAAAGAGAUGCUAAUCAAACCACCGAAUACAGACAAACCGCUGCAAGUGUUCCAGCCGCAGCUUUAAAUGAACCUGUCCAUGAAUUAAAUUCCCAAACAACCACUGAGCGGACACGGAAAACUGUUACGGAGACUGUAAUCACUGAAGUGACAUCAUCCAGAGUGGAUUAUUCAGAUGAGACAGCUGCUACUGAAAACAAGAAUCGUCCUUCUGAUUAUUUACAGAAAGAAACCUCUGCAUCUUCUGUGAGAGAAACUCAGGUAAUAUCAGAUGCUGUUCCUCAGAAUGAUUCAAACACUGCCUCCUGUUCAACUAAGGCAACACAGGAACUGCCACAUAAAAUUUUGAAACGUAAUAAACAGGAAGCACAAAAAAUGAGGAGAAGGUCACUGGCCCAACAGAAAUUACCACAAAGAAAGGAAAAUCAGAAAAGGAAGGAAAGGGAGAUGUACAGUUGUGAUGAAAGCUUUAAGGCAAAGAAAAGAAAUUCCAGUAGAAAGUCUAAUGAUCCAGAUCACAGACAGAAGAAGAGAGUGUACAAAAAUAAUCUGUAUAAAAUAAAUGCUACAUAUAGAGAGAAACAGACAGAACAUUUGAGAAAGAUCUAUAAAGAAAGAGAUGAUUUUAAGGAAAAACAGAAGGAGCAAAUGAAAAGGCUGUAUAGAGAAAGUGCUAAAAUUAGAGAGAAAAAAAGGCAAUGUGUCAUAAGGACAUACAAAGACAAUCCUAUAUUCCGAGAAAAGCAGAAAGAACGUAUAAGAAGAACAUAUAGAGAGUCUUCUAUAUUCCAAAAAAAGCAGAAAGAACGUAUAAGAAGAACAUAUAGAGAGUCUUCUAUAUUCCGAGAAAAGCAGAAAGAACGUAUAAGAAGAACAUAUAGAGAGUCUUCUAUAUUCCAAAAAAAGCAGAAAGAACGUAUAAGAAGAACAUAUAGAGAGUCUUCUAUAUUCCGAGAAAAGCAGAAAGAACGUAUAAGAAGAACAUAUAGAGAGUCUUCUAUAUUCCGAGAAAAGCAGAAAGAACGUAUAAGAAGAACAUAUGGAAGUUCUGUUGAAUUCAGAGAGAAACAUAAAGCCUGCAUGAGGUCAUAUGUAUAUAAACUAUAUCAAGAAAGUGAAGAAUUUAAAAAGAAAAAACUAUCUUACAUCACUAAACGUUAUGGAGAAGAGAGACAAUUUCAGCAACAACACAAAGAGAAUAUGAGAGAACGAAUGAGAGUAAAAUAUUGGAACGUUUUUUCUUUUAGACAGAUGCAUAAUAUCAGAUGUGCAAUGAAUAUAAAAAGAAAAUAUCGUCAGAUGCAUCGACCAGCUGAAAGUUUACAGUAUCAUCCAGAUAACAGUUUAAUGAAUGAGGCCAUAUCUCGUUUCAGGUCAAACAUUAAGUCAGCACCAUCUUAUGUUUGUACUGUUUGUCUAAAAGCUUCUUUUCCUAAUCAGGUGAAAAUCUGCAAAAGAGAAAAUUACUCAAAACACCAAACUGUAGCUCAGCAGUGUCUAACUGGUAAAUUUGUUCAUGUGUGUGAUGAAGCAUGUAAUGAUCACUGCAGCUUUCCUGUUGAGAGAAAAAAGGAGUAUAUCUGUCACACGUGUCACAGUUCCCUCAAAAGUGGACGCAUGCCAAGGCUUGCUGCUGUCAAUGGUUUAGAACUGCAGGAUAUUCCAGCUGAACUGUGUGAUCUCAACAUUCUGGAGAGACAUCUGAUUGCCAAAUGCAUACCAUUUGCAAAGAUUAUUCCUCUUCCAAAGGGCAGACAAAGACUCAUACGUGGUAAUGUGGUGUGUGUACCAUCUGAGGUCCAACAAACAGUUGACUCUUUACCUCGGCUCAGAAGCCAAUCACAGAUAAUGAGGAUCAAGUUGAAAAGACGACUGUGCUACAAAGGCCAUCAGCUGUUCCAGACUGUCACCUGGUCUAAACUGAUCCAAGCCCUGCGUAAACUCAAACAAAUUCAUCCACAGUACACAGAUAUUGUUAUCAGAGAUGAUGCAUUGCUUUGUGAUCCCACGUUACCUGAUGAUGACAGCAGUGAUGAAGCCAGCAUGGGAAGUGAUGAUUAUGAUGAAGCAGAUUUAAUGGAAAUUGACAACUAUGAAAAAGAUGCCCUUUUGUGUGAAACUGAGUCUGAAAGUGAACAAGAUGUUAAUAUGCAAUCCUGUGAUGAACAACCAGAGGAAAUCAAUCCAGAGGAACCAGAAAGUGAUUUGAACAAUGGAGGUUUUGCUCUAGAAAGUUGCCUGCAGCCUGUUGACAUUUCAGAAGAGAUUCUCUCUUUCACUGAUAACACAUAUUGUGUGGCUCCUGCAGAAAGAAACAAUCCUGUUAGCUUCUUCAGAACUCCUCACUUGGAAGCCAUGGCAUUUCCUGUGCAGUUUCCUACUGGUCAGAAUACACUGGAUGAAAAGAGACGUUUUAAACUCACACCAAGUGCUUACUUCAAGUCAAGGCUUUUCAACAUUGAUGCAAGAUUUGCUAAAGACACAAAUUACCUGUUUUUCUCACAGUUUGUCACUGAAAUACACUUGGCUAAUUCCAGCAUGACAAUACAGCUAAGGAAAGGUAAAACUAUGACCAAAGAUGGACGCAAAAUCACAUCAGGAAUGUUACAAAGUAAGACAGAAGUAGAGAAGCUGGUAAGAAAUAAAGAUGCAAUCAGAUUUAUGCAGCCACUCAGAGGAACUCCAGCUUACUGGCAGAAAACUACCAGAGAUCUAUUCAGUAUGGUUCGCCAAAUAGGAACACCUCAGUUCUUUGUCACUUUCUCAGCUGCUGAGAUGAGAUGGCCAGAAGUGAUUCAAGCAAUAAAGAGACA
ensembl:lncRNA